UACGGAGGGUGCAAGCGUUAUCCGGAUUCACUGGGUUUAAAGGGUGCGUAGGUGGGCAGGUAAGUCAGUGGUGAAAUCUCCGGGCUUAACCCGGAAACUGCCAUUGAUACUAUUUGUCUUGAAUACUGUGGAGGUCAGCGGAAUAUGUCAUGUAGCGGUGAAAUGCUUAGAUAUGACAUAGAACACCAAUUGCGAAGGCAGCUGGCUACACAAAUAUUGACACUGAGGCACGAAAAGCGUGGGGAUCAAACAGG
rnacentral:rRNA from 1 species